rnacentral:lncRNA from 1 species
GUGACUGCGUGCUCGUAGGGUGCACCGGGCCCGGGGCCCGGGCAGGCGGUUUGUGACUCUCAGUGCUACUGUAACACAGCAACCAUUGCUGCUGCCGCUACUACCAAUAAAACAGAUUUGUUAAUGUUGUAAUUGUGAUCAUCUGCUUAGAAAGCUUGGCGUGUUCCAAGGCAGAUGACCCUGGUUUACAUUUGCUCGUGUCAAAGGCACUGCAUGCUACAGACAGAGCUGACCGAAACCAACAGUGUGCUUCACAAAUACCGAUGGAGGGUGAAAAUACAAAAGCAACAUCUAAAGGGAAAUUUUCCACGCACAGGCAUACUGGAAAGAGAAGAGCCUUCGUCAGUGACUCACCAGCGAGGCACGCUGCGCCAGCACCAGGGAAUCACCAGAAGAGCUGAGAACUACCCUGGGCAAAGAAGAGCUGUUUGUCUUUAUGAUGGCUGGCACUUAACCACAAACCAAGACACUUCCAGUCUGGCAUUCAUCUCUAGGGUCUGCAGACAGCACCAUGGCUGUGAAGAGUAGGGGCUGCUUGGUGAUGCCAAGCUGAAGGAGAGCCCCCAGUCACUAUCACCAAGCCAUGAACAAUGGUGGGACCAGGCCUGCUCCAGGGCCCAACAGACGUGAGUGAGCUUUGUGCAGGCGCACACACAUCAGAUGUCCUUCCUGGCAGGGCAGGGUGCCCUGUAACCUCAGGGGGCUGUCACAGGGCGAGAUGAGGCUUUAGAGUGGCACUUGUGUUUUAGAAAUAGGGGAUUCAAGUUACCGCUUCUCCCAGGCUUACUGCCCACUAUGGAUGGCCGCAGUAGGCAAUCUCCUCCAGCACUGCCCUGUGUGCACAGAGCACUGACCUGGCUUGCACAUGGCACUGCCGCUGUCGGAGCGUCCAGAGCUCUCCCGUGCGGUGGAUCAGGGCUCCUCUGCCCACACUUGCACUGAAGUCAUGAAGCAAGGUGAGCACACUGCCAUGCCAAGGGACAUGCUACGUCUCAGUAACCUGCUGUGGCAGCAGCUGUGUUACCUGCAAAG